AUUGAACGCUGGCGGCAGGCCUAACACAUGCAAGUCGAACGAGUCGCGGACGGGUGAGUAAUGUCUGGGAACCUGCCUGAUGGAGGGUGAUAACUCCUGGAAACGGUAGCUAAUACCGCAUACCCUCAGAUGUGCCCAGAUGGGAGUAGCUUGUUGGUGGGGUAACGGCGCACCAAGGCGGCGAUCCCUAGCUGGUCUGAGAGGUUGACCAGACACACUGGACCUGAGACACGGUCCAGACUCCUACGGGAGGCAGCAGUGGGGAAUAGUGCACAAUGGGCGCAAGCCUGAUGCAGCCAUGCGGGGUGUAUGAAGAAGGCGUUCGGGUUGUAAAGUACUGGAAGCGGGGAGGCGUUACCCGCAGAAGAAGCACGGGCUAACUCCGUUCCAGCAGCCGAGGGAAUAC
rnacentral:rRNA from 1 species